rnacentral:lncRNA from 1 species
UCAUUUCAACCAAAUAAAAUCAAUUCAUAUAAAUCGAGUAAUCAACAUGGCUUAUAAAUUUCUUAAAUGCUUUGACUUGUGCCAAAAUCAUUCUCAUACCCUGUUGUCAGGGAUACCUUAGCCUGGGGCUAUCCCAACCGAGUUCGCCAAGGUUGUCAAAAAAAUCAUGUACACAUAAAUCAUGUUUUUAUUUUGAAAACAUAGCCGUUCCUUGGCGUUGGCUAAGUUCACCUUCAUGUGGUGGUUUGGCGUGAAGUGAACUCUAAAGUUGUACCCCAGGAGUUACCCUACAUGCCUCUCCAACCGAGGUAAGAAUAUAACGAGGUUACCGUGCCCCUCUAAUAGGCUGGUCCACGGAACCCGCCCACUGCAGCAAGCUAAACCCACCAAUUCAAUAAAAUCUCAACUGCAUGACAUGGCAAUUAUAUCACAAUCUAGCCUCUCAAGGCUAAAUACACAGUUCAUAUAUUUCAACACAAAUACCAAUUCAGCCAUUCAUGCACAUAUUGUCAUAAGCCAUUCAAUUCAAACCAUGAAUUUACAACACAUGAAAACAGUCUCCAAUUACUCUAUUUUCAAACCAUCAUUCAAUUUCAAGACAAUUUUAUAAAAUUAUUUCAUUAAAUCACAUUUUAAUUACAAAAUACAAAGAUUUACCAUUUAACUCAUUUUCCAUAAAAUCGCAAAAUCGGAUAAAAACCACUUUAGAUAAUUAAGAUGAUAGUAAGGUUACUCAAUAUUUCAGGAGUCGAAUUCUGAGUACUUCGAUUCUUGAUCCUUGGGUACUAUCUCUUUACUUUUGCCAGAAAGCUCACCACCUAGACAUAAUGCACAAUAAGCCAUUUACUGCAUUUGUGCUAAAUUGUUAUAAAACCAAUUCAAGCUCUAUACUAAUGCAUGAAAUGGGAUGUAAAUUGUUUGGAUUAUCAUCUAAACAUGGUGUUCUACACAAAUUCAAUUAUGUACCUAAAUAAAACGGUAUUGGCCUAAUUCGAUCUAUCACUCGAUUUAAUUGGCCAAUAUCUCCAAUUUAACUCCCAUUAACUCCAUUUUUCUUCCAAUUCUCCAAACCAUCAAACACAAAUUAAAUAACUUAAAAUAUGGCAAAACCAUCCUCACAUUUUCUCUUGGAAAAUUCGGCCAUGGUGGGUGCAUCAAUACUAUGAUUUUUCCUACUUGAUUUUCUCACUGUAAUUUAUCAUUUCCUAACCAAUUCACUUGAAAUAAAAUCAAAUCCACCAUCCACACUCUACAUGGAAGAUUCGGCCAAUGAUGGGUUAUGGAAGAACAUGAAUUUUUCUUGUUUGUUUUUCAUGCUACACAUCACUAACUAACUAAAAACACUAAAAUACAUUGAAAUCUAACCAGAUCCGAGUUCAAAACUCCUCCCCCCAUGUCCGGCCAGCAAGAGUAUCCUCAUGCAAACUUGAUUCUCAACCAUGGAAAAUGAAAAAGAAUGCAUAGGAAAGGGAAAUCACAAGCUAGAAUUGAAAAAUCUUACCUUUUGUCACUUUAUUCUUUGAAAUUUUGUGAAUUUCUCUUGAAUUUCUUAGCUAGGUUUUUGUUCUUCUUCUUGUCUUCCCUU